AUUGAACGCUGGCGGCGUGCUUAACACAUGCAAGUCGAACGAAGUGGCGAACGGGUGAGUAACGCGUAAUCAACCUGCCCUUCAGAGGGGGACAACAGUUGGAAACGACUGCUAAUACCGCAUACUGAAGGUGGGGCUUGCGUCUGUUUAGCUAGUUGGAGGGGUAACGGCCCACCAAGGCGAUGAUCAGUAGCCGGUCUGGGAGGAUGGACGGCCAAAUUGGGACCGAGAAACGGCCCAGACCCCUACCGGAGGCAGCCAGUGGGAAUCUUCCGCAAUGGACGAAAGUCUGACGGAGGAAAGCCGCGGGAGUGAUGACGGCCUUCGGGUUGUAAAGCUCUGUUAGUCGGGACGCGGUACCGGAAUAGAAAGCCACGGCUAACUACGUGCCAGCAGCCGCGGUAAUAC
rnacentral:rRNA from 1 species